GGGCACUUGGCACAGUGGUAGCGCGCACGCUUCGCAUCUUGUUGAGUAGAUUGCGUGAGGUCGGGAGUUCAAUCCUCCCAGUGUCCA
rnacentral:tRNA from 1 species